UGCUAAAUUCACAGUAUGCGCUAUUUUUCACAUUUGACAGACACAACCCUUGUUGCGCACUGUUAGUAACUCAGCAUGCAGGUGCACUGUCAGGGUAAUG